rnacentral:rRNA from 1 species
UACGAAGGGGCUAGCGUUGCUCGGAAUCACUGGGCGUAAAGCGCACGUAGGCGGGUCGUUAAGUCAGGGGUGAAAUCCUGGAGCUCAACUCCGGAACUGCCUUUGAUACUGGGGAUCUCGAGUCCGGGAGAGGUGAGUGGAACUGCGAGUGUAGAGGUGAAAUUCGUAGAUAUUCGCAAGAACACCAGUGGCGAAGGCGGCUCACUGGCCCGGAACUGACGCUGAGGUGCGAAAGCGUGGGAGCAAACAGG